UGGGGAAUUUUGGACAAUGGGCGCAAGCCUGAUCCAGCCAUGCCGCGUGCGGGAAGAAGGCCUUCGGGUUGUAAACCGCUUUUGUCAGGGAAGAAAUCUUCUGAGUUAAUACCUCGGGAGGAUGACGGUACCUGAAGAAUAAGCACCGGCUAACUACGUGCCAGCAGCCGCGGUAAUACGUAGGGUGCAAGCGUUAAUCGGAAUUACUGGGCGUAAAGCGUGCGCAGGCGGUUUUGUAAGACAGAGGUGAAAUCCCCGGGCUCAACCUGGGAACUGCCUUUGUGACUGCAAGGCUUGAGUGCGGCAGAGGGGGAUGGAAUUCCGCGUGUAGCAGUGAAAUGCGUAGAUAUGCGGAGGAACACCGAUGGCGAAGGCAAUCCCCUGGGCCUGCACUGACGCCCAUGCACGAAAGCGUGGGGAGCAAACAGGAUUAGAUACCCUGGUAGUCCACGCCCUAAACGAUGUCAACUGGUUGUUGGGAAGGUUCCUUCUCAGUAACGUAGCUAACGCGUGAAGUUGGACCGCCUGGGGAGUACGGCCGCAAGGUUGAAGCUCAAAGGAAUUGACGGGGUCAUAGCUGUUUCCU
rnacentral:rRNA from 1 species